AAGGGCCUCCCUACAAAACUCCUGAGAGGAGUCUACUCCUUCUGCGUUUUGGGAUGCUUCCCACAAUCCUCUCUAGACAAACUCCUUCAGGAAGAGAUAUUCAAUGAGCUUCUUUUACCAGAUCAGAGGACCCACGGAGCCAAUGAAAGAGUACUGCACUACAUUAAUCCCUGCCCAGAGCUGGACUGCUCUGCUACAAUUCUGCCAAACCCUCCUCCUCACCAAGAAUUGCUUUGAAGCGAAGUCUGGGAGAUGAGGUUUGCUAGCAGGGGGUGCUGUUGCAAAAUGAUUACUUUAUAGAUUUCCAAAUCACAUUGGACAAAGACAGAAAAUUUGUCUUGCAGUGCAGUCCCAGAGUGAGGAAAAUAUCCAAACUGAAGAUUUCCAAAGUUUCUGCUUUCUGUCUUGGUACCACCCACCCCAAAGGCAAGCUGGCUAUGAAGAUGCGGCGCCUUACAGCUCUUGGGUAUUCCAUUGUGUUGGGCCCCAGCGCAGGAGUUUGAGAAGCUUCAAGAAGAUGAGCAAGUCCAGUUUCUGAAAACCAGAGUAUUUACAGAACCAGAACCUGCAUUGUGUGCUAUCAGUCAGGAAACUUGAACAAGAAACGGACUGUUUGAUGUUGGGAAAGCCUGCAUUGGUGCAGAUCAAACAGAAAUAUGCAGAUCGAUAUGCAGGUUUCGCAAAUACUGGUCAGCAAUCUGCUUGAGGUUUAAAGGUUACGGUAACUAGGAGUCCAGUGGAAUAUCAAACAAACAAGUCUGUUUUGACCUGGUUCACAUACUACUUGCAGGACUGCUUGACAGCCGUUUCAUUUUCCAAAACUUGCUGACAUCCUGUUUGAAAAAAAGAAAAAAAAAACUUUUGCUGUUCUGCUUAUGAGUAAUUUUCCCCUAUUCACUGUAUAAUCAAAAAUGAAAACAGACUUGCAGAUCUCAUGAUUGUUUUAAAGUUGUUGAACAUCUAAAUCUAAACCAGUCAAUACGGACAAUACCAAUCCUGUGUUUUGCUGAAAAAUUGUUAUACUGUUUUUAUACUGUAAAAAAAAUAAAUAAUAAUAAGCUCCUAUUACAAACUAGUUAAAAACAAAAGAAAAAUAUACAGUCUUCAUUUUAGUUUUAUCAAAUGUCUUCUAGCAUGUACAGUACAGUAAAGUCGUUAACCAGAUUGUCAAUUAACUGGGCCACUCCAUGUAUUUUUUUUGUGUUGGAUGUUAAUUUGGGUUAUGCAGGCUCCAAAGGUUCAUAACUGUCAGCACUGUGCUUUUAGAGAAAGCAUCGUAAUGCAGUCUUGCUACUUUCAAGGUGUGGGUUUAUAAGCAGAAAAUCAGCUAACAAGACUGUUACACCCUCAUCAGUCUGCCGGCUUGACGUAUUGAAACCUGAUACAUUCUCAUAU